GUAAAACUCUGUAGAGAGAGAACCCUACACUUCACGUUCCUGUGACUUGCAUUACUAUCUCUAUAUAACUAAUCCGACAGAGCCUGCACAAUUUUCCCACCUAACACCAAACACCUACUCAACUAUACACUGUAAAUUCACCAGUACAAGCAUACCCCCACCCACUUACCUGGACACACCUAGAGUGGGGAGAGAGAGAGAGAGAGAGGGAGGGAGGGAGGGAGGUAGGAUGGCGACUGUGGCAGCUUCCAAGGUGUUGCUCCGGCGCGUCAUCCACGGCAGCUUGUCGCUGAAUGACGUGGAGGUCAAGCGCCGCCCAUACCACCGGAACUGUGGUUGCGCCCUACACAAGGUCAAAGGCGGCAGCACCAGCAGCUGCCCUGACGCUUGCCCGAACAACCGCAAGGUGUCUUUCCCGAGGAAGGAGUUGUGCUCGGAUUGCUUGCUGUCCCUCUCGUCUUCCCAUGCCUCUGCUCGAUCUUCUCUUCUCUCGGCCGAUAGCAUGUCUUCUUUCGCAAGGACAGAGGAUCCAACAGGAGGGGGCCUCUGCAAAUAAGUGAAGCAUAUCUAUACGCUUGGUCGUGGUGAUUGAGAUUAUAUUUUUAGCACUUGUUAGAGGGUGGCCGACACCAACGGAAGCCUUUGAUCAACAGAGAGAAAGAGCCCAAGCAAAGCAAUUCUCGCUAAGUCCAAAAUGAAGGUAGUCGGAGAUCGUGUGGUGGUGACCGGUGGCAACAAAUGACAGGGAUUGCCCACGACGAAGGUUGAUAGACAAACUUAGGUUAGAGUUUGGCUUUAUGGUUUGUGGGUAAUUUGAGGGGUUAAUGUACUUCUGUACCAUUUUUAAGAGAGGGUGUCGUAAUAAGAUGUAAGUAUUAGGAUUUGAGAUGCAAAGUCGUGAUAAAGAACAUGAUGCGAAACGGAAAAGAGUAUUGACGGAUAAUUUUGGGUAGUGCC